rnacentral:rRNA from 1 species
CAAUGAAAUUUUUCAAUGGCUGCAGUAUUUUGACUGUACAAAGGUAGCAUAAUCAUUAGUUUCUUAAUUAGAAGCUGGUAUGAAUGGUUUAAUGAAAAAAAUACUGUCUUUAUUUAAAUUUUAAAAGAAUUUUAUUUUUAAGUUAAAAAGCUUAAAUUUUUUUAAAAGACGAGAAGACCCUAUAGAGUUUAAUAAUUUUAAGAAUAAUAAUUUUAAGAAUUUUAUUUUAUUUAUUUUGAUAAUUAUUUUGUUGGGGUGACAAGAAAAUAUAAUAAACUUUUUUUAUAUAAUAACAUUAAUUUAUGAAUAUUUGAUCCAUUAGUUAUGAUUAUAAGAUUAAAUUACCUUAGGGAUAACAGCGUAAUUUUUUUGGCGAGUUCUUAUCAAUAAAAAAGUUUGCGACCUCGAUGUUGGAUUAAAAUUUACAAUUGGUGCAGUAGCUGAAUUGUUAGGUCUGUUCGACCUUUAAAAUUUUACAUGAUCUGAGUUUAAACCGGUGUGAGCCAGGUUGGUUUCUAUCUUUAAAUAAAUAAAAUAUUUUAGUACGAAAGGACCAAAUAUUUAUAAAAUUUAUUAAAAAUUGAAUUAAAUUGUUACUUUGGCAGAUUAGUGCAUUAAAUUUAGAAUUUAAUUAUGUAUGUUAAGUACAGGUAAUACUUGGUGUUUAUUGAUUAUUUAUUAAGUUUGUUAAGAAGAGUAAUUUUAGUUAUUUGUGUAUUAGUAGGAGUG